CUACGGGGCGCUGCAGUGAGGAAUAUUGCACAAUGGAGGAAACUCUGAUGCAGCAACGCCGCGUGGAGGAUGACGCAUUUCGGUGUGUAAACUCCUUUUAUAUGUCAAGAAAAUGACGGUAGCAUAUGAAUAAGCACCGGCUAACUCCGUGCCAGCAGCCGCGGUAAUACGGAGGGUACAAGCGUUACUCGGAAUCACUGGGCGUAAAGGACGCGUAGGCGGGAUAUCAAGUCAGGUGUGAAAUCCUACAGCUUAACUGUAGAACUGCACUUGAAACUGGUAACCUAGAGUAUGGGAGGGGGAGAUGGAAUUAGUGGUGUAGGGGUAAAAUCCGUAGAUAUCACUAGGAAUACCUAAAGCGAAGGCGAUCUCCUGGAACAUAACUGACGCUAAGGCGUGAAAGCGUGGGGAGCAAACAGGAUUAGAUACCCCAGUAGUC
rnacentral:rRNA from 1 species